UGAGUACUGUCGUUACACCAUUGGCCGGCCGGCCGAGCGUCGGCGUUUCCCCAUUGGCCGCUGUGGUUCUUUCCGAAAUCGAUUUGGCGCGUGCAGUUUCUUACAGGAAGUGUUGCCAACUUGGCAGCUUUCGUCGCGACAUUUACCGGGUUUUCCUCACCCCUUUUUAGCGGCUUUUUUCCUGCACGAAGGCACCUGGCGACAAACCUCCGCCGCUUUCCGUAGGAGAGGGUCGCCCCGUGUUGCCCCGCGGGCAAGACGUCGGGCUCUCCCUCCGCACGCGCGUCUCUUUCGGUUCACCUGGCGUGAAAGGGCCUCUAACGUUCUCUCUGAGUGAUCGUUUCACAGGUGAAGCUCUGAAAGUGAAGAAGAUAUUGGGGGGUGGCGCACCGAGGGACACCGAUGCCUUUGCUUCAGAGGAAGGAACCCAACUGAUGAACCGUGUCAUUAGAAAGUCGGGUGCAGAAGUCAAACAAUCAUCAAACCACAGAUUUCAUGAAAAGGGUCAUGUGACUUUGGUUGUUUUCCAAAAUAAAAGGGAUACUUUAUGAACAGUCCUUGCAUUUACCUUCAACUAUAGUGUAACUUUGGCACAAAUACUACCUAUGCUGAUUUGUUUAUUGUGAUGGCUGACAUUUUUCAGGCAUUCUCAAGUCUCUGCAAGUUGGUGUUUUUUUUUUUUUUUUUUAAACAGCAGAUUACUGAAACUGACUGUAACAGUCAGCAGGAAUGUAAUGCAGUGGUUCCCAACCUUUUUGGUCUCACAAUAACCCCUAAAAAUGUCUAUAUGAAGCCCUUAGUAACUGGUUGAAUAUGUCUAUGGAUUAUGAUUAGGACAAGCAAAUUGUUAUCAUUUCCCCUGCUUUUUUCUGAAUAAUGUUAGAGGCCUGAAGCUGUAAAAAUGUCCAGGAUUUCCAAGUAAGCAUAAAUGGUUUUGCGUUCUUUUUUUUUUUUUUUUUCCUUACUUACUUGAGUUGUAAAAUAGGUUUAAGUUUCAUAUUCUGCCCUUUAAAGUUGAAAGCACAGCAGCAAAGCUGCCAGGGUUGAGGGUUUGGUUCCCAUUGGUGCAUCUGUGUGUGCUCUGGAUGGUUUGUGGACUCUUGUGUAUGUGUAUGAACAUUUGAGAAAUGUACUGUAAAUGUCAAAAUUGUGAGGAAGACUCUGAAGCGUGUGAGGAAAGAGUUUGAUCAGAGUGGACAGAUACAGAGUUUUCACUAAUUUCUAUGCAUUAAUAACAAUAUUACAACUUGUUUUAUCAUGUUUUAUAGCGCAAAGUGUAGUUCGUGGAUGAAUUUGUAAAUUGCUCAAAUUUUUUUUUUUUCCAGUAUUAUUGGUAAAGUUACAUUAUUUUCACGUGCUUCUUAAUAAAAUACUCAUUGUAAAUUAUGGUAUAAGUAAAAAAUAUAAUAAGCCUUUUAUUAUUCGUGACUCCUUUUUAAAAAUAAACCAGUGUCCAAUUCCAAACCAGUGUUCAAUUCCAAACCUUUGGUGACAGGUGUCAGAAGUUUCCUGUUCUGCCCUCUAAACAUCUCUAAUUGUUUCAUCUUAAUAGAGACACAAAGAGGUGAAACAGUGCAAGUACGUCAGUCAAAUUUGUGUCAAAGAACUCUGUUUACUUCAUUUCUAUCUCAUUAAUCAUCCUACAAACCCCUCAGUUUAAUCCGGGGUCCAUUAGGUGCUCCAAAUGAAGUAAUUAAAUGAUGUUAUGGCCAAUAAGACAUAAAAUGCACAAUAAAGUAUAUAAAAUAUUUAUAAAAGCACUGAUUAAACUUAGUUUUUAUUCAGUGUUUUCUUAGGAUCUUAGUAUCAUCAUUAUUGUUGGAGACACACUGAUCAUGAACCUAAAAUUGUGAAAAAGUGCUUAUUUCUGUUUUUUGUCAGCUUAUCCUUGUUGAUAAAUAAAGACCUAUUUUCCAAUCGCA